ensembl:lncRNA
CUCUUUCUGGAUAUUGCUUCUCUUGGAGUUUUCUCAUGAGCCUACAACACAGAAAUCAAGAACAUCUAUUUAAUCUCUUCGUCACAGUGUUAAAAGAGGAAUGCAACGAAAUUUUCACAGCUGGACAAUGCUGCUUUUGCCAUAUUGUCAAUAGAACAGAGCAAGCAUAAAUAGAAUGAUCUAAAUACUGAAAUCAGUAGAAAAGCUGGCAAUCAAAUGGAGUUCUUGCUGUACUUUUAGGGUUUUUCAGCACAAAACUAUCAUGAACUGAGCCUCCUGCAUUUAAUCCUCUCCUGAUGCGAUUGUAGGAGUCAAAAACGGGUAAUAUAAUCCCAGGGCUGUGUGGAUGAGAGAAUCCUGAGGAACUUCUGUGUUAGAUAAUUUCUGCUGUGAAGUGUGAUGUACAAAUUUUAUUUCUGUGAAGUGAAACCAGAAACUGCCUCUGUUUAAAUGCAGAUUGUGAAGCAGCUCUCCAACAAGAAGAGAAACGCAAUACCUGAACCCAGGAACUCUUUCAGCAUUCAGUGAACCGCAGAAAGAUUUAGGAAAGAGGAAAGCAGAAAUGGGUGUGCUUUUUCCAUUUGUUUCAUGCGACAGAAGUUUCCUAGGAAGGGCCAGUCCUGUAAGAAAAGUAGCGGACAAAAUUACAUGGAUGAUACAGAUGGAGGGAGCACACAGGAAGAAGAGAAUGUUGUAUUACUGAGUUUGGACUCUCAGAGUAUGUUUGACAUAAAUUUAUGCUUGCAUCUACUUAUCAACACAUAAUUGCCUCUAAUGAAACACGUACUUGAUAAGAUGAAAGGGAAUGCAUUGUGAUGUGGCUCUUUAAAAUCUGGGCUGACCUGAGCUUUUAUCUACAGGAAUGAUCAGAGGGGAAGAGACCUGGAGUCUGCCAAACUUUCAAGGGGAAGGUCAAGUGUUUGGCACACCAAACAAAGAAGAACUGUUUGGAUAAUGUAUAGAAGGAAGAGGAAAGGUGGAACUGGCAGCAGGGAAGCAAGUGGUUACAAUAGCAGGAAUGGGACUUAAUUUAUCUCUGUAAAAUGGAAUAAAAUCUGUUGUUAGAUAGCCAACUAGAUGGUAUGUUUCACUGAGAUUUUCCUGAAUUGAAACUGGCCUUUGUAUACUUUGAAAGGUGUUCUGUGAUCUUUAAAAGGAGAGUGAGCUGGCCAUAAGACAAGCCAAUAGAGUCCGCUUUACGGUACUAAAAAAGAUAGCUAUGUGUGACCCAGUUAAUUUUCACAUCUCUUCUCUUAAGAAACUACUCCAUCAAAUAAUCAACUUUCUUUUUUAAUUUUGAAAUGGAAGAAACAGAAUAUGCUUCAUGGAACAUUUCUUUAAAAAAAAAAAAGCCUUUUAGUAAAAAAAAAAAGGGAAAAAAGAAAAACAACACAUUUGCUGUGUGUAUCCAGCUAUCUGUGCUUUCUGUCACUUUGAACACUUUGGCCACCAGGUGUGGUCAGUGUUUUUGGACACUCCUAUCCGUCCCCAUGACCUUUUUAAUAUCUCUUCAUCCAAAUUGUUGCUGCUGCAUUUAUUCUUAGCACUCAUAUAAAACAAGCCACUUUCAGAGUCUAUAUUCUCACAAAGACCCUUGAGUUAAUGGUGUAUGGAAAUUUCCACAGGGGUCUGCCUAUAAUGACUUCCAACUCACUAUUCCCAGAUUUGAGUUAGUAAAUCAGAAAGAUAUUUUCUUAUGUUUUUGGUGGGGAGGAGGAAUGACAGGGAGGAGAGAGAGAUCGCUGUUAAGUUUAGUAAAUGUAACCUCUUUGGCACUGCUUUUCCAUAUGCAGAGACCAAAUUCUUCCUUAUUCAUUUGUAAUCUUUUUGUUUUGCCCCACCCUUUUCUUCCCACCCUCUCAGUUAUGGGCAGGACCAAAUAUUAUGCUUAGUUGGCUCAUUGUGGAGUGAAAUAGAUUUUUAGUGGAAUUAAUUAAUGGAAUUUCUUUUACAUUUACAAUUACAUAGUUAAUGAGAGGGUCUGACCUCGGGAAGAUGCAUUGCCUUUUUUUGCUUUUGCUGAGCAUUGUUCCCAGUGACACAGCAGCCAUGUACAAAGGGGAAAAUAUAAAUUGCUUUUAAAGUGACAAAGCUAUGUAUUAAAAAAAAAAGAACAUUUAGUUUUGAAAACAUAAAUCUUUCACUGAAUAAAUAUUUAUCUUGACUAUUUAUAAUGUCAAGUCAAGCGUAAGUGGUAUUAAUUUCGCAUGAAGGGAAGCCAAGUCUAGAAAUCCUAAGCAAAAUCUUGAGAUUGCAGAAAUGUUGAGUUCAAUGGAACAGCAGAUGUCUGAGCAGCGUGAAUGUUAAUUUUGCAGGGUAAGUCCAGUUUUGCUGGAUAAAGCAAUGAAAAAUAUUUCACGUAACAGCUUUCAGUUAGUAGAGGUUUUGAAACGUCUGAUUUUUAUUUGUGUGAAAUUUAAG